rnacentral:rRNA from 1 species
GGGGAAUAUUGCGCAAUGGGGGCAACCCUGACGCAGCCAUGCCGCGUGAAUGAAGAAGGCCUUCGGGUUGUAGAGUUCUUUCGGUAGCGAGGAAGGCAUUUAGUUUAAUAGACUAGGUGAUUGACGUUAACUACAGAAGAAGCACCGGCUAACUCCGUGCCAGCAGCCGCGGUAAUACGGAGGGUGCGAGCGUUAAUCGGAAUAACUGGGCGUAAAGGGCACGCAGGCGGUGACUUAAGUGAGGUGUGAAAGCCCCGGGCUUAACCUGGGAAUUGCAUUUCAUACUGGGUCGCUAGAGUACUUUAGGGAGGGGUAGAAUUCCACGUGUAGCGGUGAAAUGCGUAGAGAUGUGGAGGAAUACCGAAGGCGAAGGCAGCCCCUUGGGAAUGUACUGACGCUCAUGUGCGAAAGCGUGGGGAGCAAACAGGAUUAGAUACCCUGGUAGUCCACGCUGUAAACGAUGUCGAUUUGGGGGUUGAGCUUUAAGCUUGGCGCCCGUAGCUAACGUGAUAAAUCGACCGCCUGGGGAGUACGGCCGCAAGGUUA